UUUUCUUAUGUCUGCCAGAGUUUGAACACAAGGACUCUCUUUUCCUGACAAGUCUCUAUUUGGAUAAGAGACCUUUCAAGUAUAAAUUUGGAUGGGCAAUUCGGUGCUUCCAACUUUGCAGAAACGGGGUGUGGCCAGGCUCUAAGCUUCAAGAGGACCUUCUAAAAGUUCCGGUUUUCUGAACAUUGUAUCCUGUGUGUAAGAGACCUCUCUUCAGUCAAGUCUGGACCCAGUCAGACGCCAGUCUUAAGGAUAAUUGAUGAGAGAUCAUGCCAGUCCAUAUUGAAAUAGUGACUACAUGCAAGACUUCAAGCAGUACUACAUUUCAAGUUUGGAACAUACACAGUCCUGUGUCUUCCGUCAAGUGUGGGCUCAAUACUAUUGUUCAACCAGAGCAAGCAGCCCUGAUGGAUGUACAGUAUAUGUCUUCAUUGAUUAUCCUUACUUUUAUAUAUGGACACAUUUUAUUUCCAACAUCAACACGCCUUUGUGAGUACACUGGUCAAGUUAUUGGAUCAGCUCAAACUGUUUUAACACAG